GCAAACUUGGUCAUUUAGAGGAAGUAAAAGUCGUAACAAGGUCUCCGUUGGUGAACCAGCGGAGGGAUCAUUACAGAGUUGUAAAACUCCCAAACCCAUGUGAACAUACCUGUUGCCUCGGUGGCCUACCCGGUAGCUACCCUGUAGCUACCCUGUAGUCCGCCGAAGGAACUUAAAACUCUUGUUUUUUGUGUCAUCUCUGAGAAAUACUUUAAAUAAGUCAAAACUUUCAACAACGGAUCUCUUGGUUCUGGCAUCGAUGAAGAACGCAGC
rnacentral:misc_RNA from 1 species